AACGAACGCUGGCGGCAUGCCUAACACAUGCAAGUCGAACGGGUGUAGCAAUACAUCAGUGGCGCACGGGAUAGUAACGCGUGGGAAUCUGCCUCGUAGUUCGGAAUAACACCGGGAAACUGGUGCUAAUACCGAAUACGCCCUUCGGGGGAAAGUUUUUCGCUAUGAGAGGAGCCCGCGUUGGAUUAGCUAGUUGGUGAGGUAACGGCUCACCAAGGCGACGAUCCAUAGCUGGUCUGAGAGGACGAUCAGCAUCACUGGGACUGAGACACGGCCCAGACUCCUACGGGAGGCAGCAGUGGGGAAUAUUGGACAAUGGGGGAAACCCUGAUCCAGCAAUGCCGCGUGAGUGAUGAAGGUCUUCGGAUUGUAAAGCUCUUUUGGCAGGGACGAUGAUGACGGUACCUGCAGAAUAAGCUCCGGCUAACUUCGUGCCAGCCGCCGCGGUAACAC
rnacentral:rRNA from 1 species